rnacentral:misc_RNA from 1 species
UCGGAUUUAUCCCACGUUUCGUCAACCGCGAACUGUUUUACCUUUAGUGAUAGAAUUGAGUUACCGCUGGGGAAACUCGGCGUAACGGUCUCUUUUUUUCUCGUCCUAGGGAUUUUUGGGGGAGACCUACCAGUGACUCGGCUAAUUGUUAUCUUAGCGCAGAAAGGUGAUGAUUAGUUAAUCUGUUGAUAAAAUUAAGAUUGAUUAUUAUUGAGGAUAUGCGCAUCUUUGAUGAGAACGAUCUUAAAACUUUCAACAGGGUCAAUUUUGACUAAUAUGAUUCUAUUACUAAUUGAAUGUAACAAUAAAUCUAUACGGACCAAAAAGAUUAGAUUGAGAUCGAAGUGGGCCGACAAAGCCUGCUUUGGUUUCGAUUUUUUCUUUUUUCCCACCCUAUGAACAACACCAUAAGUACAUACAAUUGACUGAACUACUUCUUUCACGCUGAAAAGCGGGAGAGAAAGGAUAUUACGAAACUAAGUA